CACAGUGUUCUCUACCUCUCUAACUACAGACCACCCUGAGGUGGAGUCACAGUGUUCUCUACCUCUCUAACUACAGACCACCCUGAGGUGGAGUCACAGUGUUCUCUACCUCUCUAACUACAGACCACCCUGAGGUGGAGUCACAGUGUUCUCUACCUCUCUAACUACAGACCACCCUGAGGUGGAGUCACAGUGUUCUCUACCUCUCUAACUACAGACCACCCUGAGGUGGAGUCACAGUGUUCUCUACCUCUCUAACUACAGACCACCCUGAGGUGGAGUCACAGUGUUCUCUACCUCUCUAACUACAGACCACCCUGAGGUGGAGUCACAGUGUUCUCUACCUCUCUAACUACAGACCACCCUGAGGUGGAGUCACAGUGUUCUCUACCUCUCUAACUACAGACCACCCUGAGGUGGAGUCACAGUGUUCUCUACCUCUCUAACUACAGACCACCCUGAGGUGGAGUCACAGUGUUCUCUACCUCUCUAACUACAGACCACCCUGAGGUGGAGUCACAGUGUUCUCUACCUCUCUAACUACAGACCACCCUGAGGUGGAGUCACAGUGUUCUCUACCUCUCUAACUACAGACCACCCUGAGGUGAAGUCACAGUGUUCUCUACCUCUCUAACUACAGACCACCCUGAGGUGGAGUCACAGUGUUCUCUACCUCUCUAACUACAGACCACCCUGAGGUGGGGUCACAGUGUUCUCUACCUCUCUAACUACAGACCACCC